UGCCCCCUGGCCCAGCUGGUUAAGGCGUCCGACUGUUAUUCAUUCACAUGAAUAUCACGUGGACACGUGUUUGUUCCGUGACUUUGGGCAUCGGGAGAUCGGGAGUUCGAUCCUCCCGGGGGCAG